AGUUUGAUCAUGGCUCAGAUUGAACGCUGGCGGGAUGCUUUACACAUGCAAGUCGAACGGCAGCACGGACUACGACUGGUGGCGUCGAGAUAAGAUGGUAUCCUCCGAACGUGCUGGCCGCCAAGGAAUACUGCGCGGCCUUCGCCACCGCAUACGCCCUUCGGGGAAAGCGGGGGACCUUCGGGCCUCGCACUAUUAGAGCGGCCGAUAUCGAGGAUACUUCGUUGGUGGGGUAACGGCUCACCAAGGCGACGAUCCGUAGCUGGUUUGAGAGGACGACCAGCCACACUGGGACCGGGCCAGCGGAACUCCAGGAGGCAGCAGUGGGAAUUUUGGACAAUGGGGGAAACCUGAUCCAGCCAUCCCGCGUGUGCGAUGAAGGCCUUCGGGUUGUAAAGCACUUUUGGCAGGAAAGAAACGGCACGGGAUAUUACCCCGUGCAACUGACAGUACCUGCAGAAUAAGCACCGGCUAACUACGUGCCAGCGGCGCGGUAAUACCGUAGGGUGCAAGCGUUAAUCGGAAUUACUGGGCGUAAAGCGUGCGCAGGCGGUUCGGAAAGAAAGAUGUGAAAUCCCAGAGCUUAACUUUGGAACUUUACGUUUUUAACUACCGAGCUAGAGUGUGUCAGGAGGUGGAAUUCCGCGUGUAGCAGUGGUAGCGAAUAUGCGGAGGAACACCGAUGGCGAGGCGGCCUCCUGGGAUAACGCGACGCUCAUGCACGAAAGCGUGGGAGCAAACAGGAUUAGAUACCCUGGUAGUCCACGCCUAAACGAUGUCAACUAGCUGUUGGGGCCUUCGGGCCUUGGUAGCGCAGCUAACGCGUGAAGUUGACCGCCUGGGGGAAGUACGGUCGCAAGAUUAAAACUCAAAGGAAUUGACGGGGACCCGCACAAGCGGUGGAUGAUGUGGAUUAAUUCGAUGCAACGCGAAAAACCUUACCUACCCUUGACAUGUCUGGAAUCCGAAGAGAUUUGGGAGUGCUCGCAAGAGAACCGGAACACAGGUGCUGCAUGGCUGUCGUCAGCUCGUGUCGUGAGAUGUUGGGUUAAGUCCCGCAACGAGCGCAACCCUUGUCAUUAGUUGCUACGAAAGGGCACUCUAAUGAGACUGCCGGUGACAAACCGGAGGGGAAGGUGGGGAUGACGUCAAGUCCUCAUGGCCCUUAUGGGUAGGGCUUCACACGUCAUACAAUGGUCGGGACAGAGGGUCGCCAACCCGCGAGGGGGAGCCAAUCAGAAACCCGAUCGUAGUCCGGAUCGCAGUCUGCAACUCGACU
rnacentral:rRNA from 1 species